rnacentral:rRNA from 1 species
UACGGAGGAUCCGAGCGUUAUCCGGAUUUAUUGGGUUUAAAGGGAGCGUAGGCGGGUUGUUAAGUCAGUUGUGAAAGUUUGCGGCUCAACCGUAAAAUUGCAGUUGAUACUGGCAUCCUUGAGUACAGUAGAGGUAGGCGGAAUUCGUGGUGUAGCGGUGAAAUGCUUAGAUAUCACGAAGAACUCCGAUUGCGAAGGCAGCCUGCUGGACUGUAACUGACGCUGAGGCACGAAGGCCAGGGGAGCGAAAGGG